CACGUAGGGUCCGAGCGUUGUCCGGAAUUACUGGGCGUAAAGCGCACGUAGGCGGAUUGUUAAGUCAGGGGUGAAAUCCUGGAGCUCAACUCCAGAACUGCCUUUGAUACUGGCGAUCUCGAGUCCGGGAGAGGUGAGUGGAACUGCGAGUGUAGAGGUGAAAUUCGUAGAUAUUCGCAAGAACACCAGUGGCGAAGGCGGCUCACUGGCCCGGUACUGACGCUGAGGUGCGAAAGCGUGGGGAGCAACAGGG
rnacentral:rRNA from 1 species